AGUGAACGCUGGCGGUAGGCCUAACACAUGCAAGUCGAACGGCAGCACAGGAGAGCUUGCUCUCUGGGUGGCGAGUGGCGGACGGGUGAGGAAUACAUCGGAAUCUACUUUGUCGUGGGGGAUAACGCAGGGAAACUUUCGCUAAUACCGCAUACGACCUACGGGUGAAAGCAGGGGAUCUUCGGACCUUGCGCGAUUGAAUGAGCCGAUGUCGGAUUAGCUAGUUGGCGGGGUAAAGGCCCACCAAGGCGACGAUCCGUAGCUGGUCUGAGAGGAUGAUCAGCCACACUGGAACUGAGACACGGUCCAGACUCCUACGGGAGGCAGCAGUGGGGAAUAUUGGACAAUGGGCGCAAGCCUGAUCCAGCCAUACCGCGUGGGAAGAAGGCCUUCGGGUUGUAAAGCCCUUUUGUUGGGAAAGAAAAGCAGUCGGUUAAUACCCGGUUGUUCUGACGGUACCCAAAGAAUAAGCACCGGCUAACUUCGUGCCAGCCGCCGCCGUAA
rnacentral:rRNA from 1 species